rnacentral:misc_RNA from 1 species
GAUGAAGAACGCAGCGAAAUGCGAUCAGUAAUGCGAAUUGCAGAAUUCAGUGAGUCAUCGAAUCUUUGAACGCACAUUGCGCCCUGUGGUAUUCCGCAGGGCAUGCCUGUUCGAGCGUCAUUUCAACCCUCAAGCCCCGCUUGGUGUUGGGCCCCGCCCGCCGUGGCCGGCCCUAAAGACAGUGGCGGCGCCGCCUGGCCCUCAGCGUAGUACAGCUCUCGCUCCAGGGUCCGGCGGCCGCCUGCCAGAACCCCCCCAACUCUGUGGUUGACCUCGGAUCAGGUAGGGAUACCCGCUGAACUUAAGCAUAUCAAUAAGCGGAGGA